rnacentral:lncRNA from 1 species
GGAGAUUUGCCUACCUGUGCUUUGUCAGGAGGUGGAACUACUCAUCACUGGACAACUCCACAGCACGCUGUGAGAGGCACCCUGAAUGAGGCAAUGCAGGAAGAGACACUUCUCCCUCUGAGAGAGAGACAGGGAGAGGAGUAGGUGGGAUCCUGGGGACAGGGGAUCUGCUGUGGGCUAAUGAGAGGGAGGGCUGCCCUAUGACCACUCCCUCACCCUCUGGACAGGAACAACCCUGAGGGUAGCUUCCUCCCAGGGACCAAACAGGGUGGCUGUCCUUCACCUGCCAUGUGGCACUAACAGAUCCCUUCCUACCUUCCUUCCAGUGCCCGGUGUCCCUGUCUGCAACACAGGGAGAUGAUGACUAUCUGUCACCAUUUGCACUACUGAGAGCUGAAGUACCCAUCCUUUUGAAGGAAUCCCAAGUUAUCCCAUGCUCUGCCCACCCACCGAGCUGCUUUCUGACAGAGCAGGAGUAUGAGAGGGCAGAAGACAGACAGAUUUGGAGGAAGGAGCUGCCAAGAGAGCAUUUCAGGGAGUGGAAGAGUAGAAGGGGUCAGAUGCUGCUGAGCCAUCAGGAAUGAAACCCGAGAGACAGCCACUGGAUUUGUGAAGAGGCAGUCACUGGUGACCUUUGCGAGUUGUGUUUCAGUACAGCAGUGGGGACAAGCGUUCCUUGCAGAGCACCAAGCAGGGAGUGAUACCAGAUAGAGACCUUGGGUGACAUCACCAGCGAAAAGACAGGAAGAGAUGGAGACAAAUUUUCAAGCUUUUCUUCUGAGAUUCUCCCAAAAUAAUGGGAUCUUUUCUUUAUUUGAAGGAGUGAAAUGCGCCCCCCUUCCUUUGUUUUGAUAGACAAAAAUAAC